CCAGCAUGUGGUUCCACUGCCCGCCACUCACCCAGUCAGUGUAGAAGCCGCCGUACAGCCGGUGCAGGCAGUUGUCGGCGUCGAUGAGGAGGCGCAGCGGUGUCUGCGGGGGCCGCUGCCGCCCCCCCCCCACCAGGCUGCCCCGCGCCAGCUUCUGCAGCUCGACGGGCACCACGGCGCUGGGGCAGUGCUUCUCGAUGUAGUCCUGGAAGCCCUGCACUCCCAUGAAGCUUGCAGACUCUUCGUGUGGAUUAUGUAAAAACAACAACACUUCUGCUGGGACACUUGUCCAGGUUGACUCACCUCCAUCCUUAGUAUGAAAUGCUCACAGAUCUGCCAGUGUGCUCCUGCAGACCCCACAGCCUAUACAGAGCAGCAGAGCUGAGCAGGUAUCAGGUAAGUGCUGGUCUGGCAAGAGGUAACAUUUAAAUGUACACCCACAUUUUAAAAUUAAUGAUUUAAUUUUUUUAGAAGGGUCUGAGAUAUUUGUGCUGUAGCUCUUCUGCCUGACAGAAGGAAUAUUGAUUUACACAGAUUAUUUUCUCUUCAUUUAUCCCUUUAAUGCUGUUUCACAAUGUUUAACCUGUGAUCUCCUCAACUUUAAUGUAAGUCAGAAAAACAAUAGAAAUGUAUUGAAUUGAAUAUUUAUGAAGAAUGCAAGAAAUGAAGAGCUAACCUAUAAAGUUUGUCCCUGGAAAACCCCACUUAAGAAACUUGUGCAAAUUUGUAUGGAGGGGAAAAAAAAAAAAAAAGUAAAUAUUACAUAGUUCUCAGUAAUGAGAGAUUUGUGGUUUCCAGAAGAAUCCAGUUUGGUUCUCCAGAUACUCUCUGCAUAUAGACUGACUUUUGAUCCCCUCCUGCAUAAUACAGCACAGGAGCAUGCCUCUUAAAGUCCUGCAGCAGUUCAGGGCUGUGGGUACCUUUGAUGUGCUGCUCUCCUGGCACAGAGGCAAGUGGGCUUGGUAGCAGUGUGGACAGGAUGGUGGUCCAGGCCAGGCCGACCCACCAGCACGUGGCUGCUGAGCUGCUUGCCCACCUCGCCAAUUGCACCCCCAACUUCUGCUCUAUUAAUAGCCACGUUACAGCCAGAUCAGAAUAUAAGGUCUGGGAUGGGCAGCGCAUGCUGAAAUAGCUUCAGGACUGGGCUGCAGUCAAAAUGAGUCUGUGGUUUUAUUUUUAAACCGGUUAAGCAUAUUUUAAAUUGAAUAAGCAUUGUCAGAACUAAUCAUAUCUCAUACCCAGCGUUCCUCUGAACACUUCAAAUACAUUUCUCCCAGAGCCUCAUCCUGGCCUGCAGCUGAGUGGUUUUGGUGCCAUUGGGCUGACUGACUCAGUGAGGGUCACCCGCUUACCUGCUGGGGAGAAAAAGCCCGUAUCUGCCUGCGUGGUUACCAGGCUAUGGUAACCAGGUAACAGCUUAGCAACUUUGAAAAAAAUAUCAGCAGAGUAACUUUGAAUGGAGGUAGAUGAGCAAUGCUCAGACAGCCUCCCCCAUUCCCCAGCCAUACGCCAGCAGCAUCUCGAGGAGCUGCAGGGCUGCGGCUCACCCACCGCGGCCGUGUGUCCAAGCAGGGCUGUCCCAGGACAGCCAUCCUCCUCCUGUUCCCUUUGUACCAAAACACCAAACCCCACAGCAUGUCUGCAGAGCAUCCUCCCACAAGCUGAUUGUUGUUCUUACACUGUUGUGAACAAGCGUCAGAGCUGCACGUGGAGCUGAAAUCUGGCACCAGUGUGACGUGACACAUCCACCACAGUGAGUGUCCAGCACCAGGCAGCAUGCUCCCCUGAGGGCUGCGCUGCCUGCAGGAAGGGAACUGCAGCACAGAGCUGGGUGUGCCUAAGAAUGAUGGCAUUAGUGCAAGUGCUGCUCACUUCGUUUCAUCUCACACAGCUGAAAAAUACUUCACAGUUUAAUUGUUUUGCUUAGGUAUUAUUCUAGCAAUCUUAAAGAUUACCCUUUUUAAAAUUUAUUUAUUUGUUUUUAUUUUUAUGCCACUUCUUUGUCCUCACCACCUGUGCCUUACUGCUGAACGUAUUACUGUGCAGUUAAGGAAUCCCUAAGUGCUAAUGGCACACAAUACUCCCAGAACUCUUUACAGGCAAUUCUCAAAUUCUGCAGUAAAGCUGCAGAUUAUGAGAGCAAAUGCCUACCUCCAUCCACAGACUGGAAGCUUAUCUAAACUGGCAUCUGUUAUGUACUCUGGCAAUUACAAACAUACUUGAAACUAGACGUGUUUGAAAUCUGAAGGAAGACUCAUCUAGUAACAAAAGUGAGAAAUGACAGCCCGGAGCUCAUUAAAAUAAAAGUUUUUAAAAAUAAUGUACUGAAGAUCUUGUGUACUAAAUAACAAAGUGAUUUUAAAUGCCUAUGUAUAAAAAGUGUACAGAAUGAACAGUAAAAUCCUGCCUCCAAUGAGUUCUGUAGGAAUUUCACUAGUCAGUGCAAGGGCACCUGGACUCUACCCACGCUCUCUGAGAGUGCUUUUUGUAUUGGCUUAUGUAACAUGGUUCUCUGGCAGAAUUUAAUUAAAGAGAAAUGUGUAAAGCAUUUGGCAUGAAGUAGUCAAAGUUUUUAACAUACACUAUUUAGAAUGAAAUCUAACUUAGAAGCAAAUAACACUAACUUUGUGCAUUUCAAUACGAAUUACUUAAUGGAGAAGCAUUUUUACUGUUAACAAGUAUGUCCUAUAAGAUUUCAUUUUUAAGAUCUAAACAAAUUUAGAGGCUUUCUUUGAAAUGUUGCAAGCUGAAGCAAACUCACUGACUUGACUUUAUCUUUGCUCUCAAUUAUACCACAGUCAACAAUUCUUUACUGUAACUUAAUACUGAAUAAGUGUUCUUGCUGACUGCUGAGAUCAAGUGGGAGGAGGAGCUCGGCAACAGUAGAACUCUGUUACUCGUGCUUUUAUUUACAGCAGCAGUUCAUAUACUUAGUGGUUUUUAUUUUUAGGCAGGAGAAAUAUAAAAUAUCCAUGAGGCUAAAAUUACUGUGUUUGAAGAUUUUUGGUCUGAAAAGUUCUGUGAUUCCCCUCGCAGAGAGGGAACAUCUCUGACUUCUCAAACAAUCUGCAGACUUUCUGAGGCAGAUAGUUUAAGGCAUGUGUUUUGGACUGCACUAACUUAUAAACAUGUACAAUUAACAUAGCUUUCUUGUUAUGGCAUUCAAGUUACCAGAUCAGGAUGAUACAUUAAAAAAGCAUGCAGAUAAGGCAUCAUUUGCCCAAACAUGUCAUCAGAAACUGCCUUUCUGAAGGUAUGUCUCAAGCAGAAGAAUGAAAACAGAUAUAUGAUAUGGUUCUGUUUCAGAGCAGUCAUAGUACCACUAUGAUGCAGACUGCCUUCACGACUUCCUAAACUCAGCACUGACAAAGGGAGACUGAUCUGAAUUCUCAGAAGCGUUAUACUGAACUCUCAGUUUAGUACAAAAAUUCUUGAAAAUAUAUUUGGUGGAGAACUGAGCCCAAGUGACAUUACUGGAGAAAAUAAGGUUUCCUUUGGCAUGGGUCACUGCACCAUGACAGCCUCUGUUCUUUGGAAGUGUCUCUAAAAUAUAUCAGAUUAUUUCUCUCCCUUAUAGUCUCCUCCUAAACAAAAAUAGAAUGAUUCAGCUUCUUCACAAUGCUCAGGAAAAAAAAGGAAGUUAAAAAUAAAUCUCAGUUCCUUUUAGCACACAGACCACAGCUGUCUUUUUACCUUUAAGGAUAAAGCACGCUGGUCCCAUUGCCCUCUUCAAGGCAGCAGGGUUAUCACAGGACGGUUUUUUGCUAUUUGAGGGGCUGUUCCGAGUUAAUCGGUGCUUACAGCAAGGAGAACUUCAGCAGUGGUAGAGAAGCUGGGCAUCUUUGCUGCCUGCAGGACUACCACAACAUGUCUGACUCCAUCACCAGAGAGCUGGCAUAUAAAUGGAAUGAAAAAUUCACUGAAAUGCUUUGAUGUUACAUACGAAUCUGAAAGGAGUAGGAGAGUUUGUUUUUAAAAGGAAAUUAAUGAAAGACCUAAAGAUAUGCAAAAUAAUGGGUGGUAUAAAAGAAGAUAGGGAAAUUCUUGUUUUUCUCCCAAGGUAAGGAACCCGGGCAUUCACAAAGGGAGGUAUAUUAUGCAAAAAACAAAGCAAAACACAAAAGAACCCAUUCCCUGUUUGAUUUCACACCGUGCCGUUGCUGCCAAGCCUGCCACCUGACUGGGCACAGCCACACCGGGGACCCCAAAGCAGCUCUGCUUACUGCUGCCUGAUCGCAGUCACCGCAGGUCGCAGCCAUGAGAUGUUGCUGCGCUGAAAGCUCAUGACUCGAAGUGAAAGACUUUGCAGGAGUUAAAAAAAAAAAACAGUGCAGAGAGGUUUUCUCAUCAGAAAGCCUGCUGAAAUUAUGCCAUUUUCCUUGGAGGAAGUCCUGUGUACAUGAGGAAUUGAUAUCUACCAACGGCCGUGGCAGAAUAUUUCUGAGGAAGCACCUUGUUCAUAUUUUGGCAGCACGAGAGUGUUGGUUUUUUUUCCCAGUUGCAAAAGUUGCUCCACCUGCCACAAAGCCAAUGGUUCCAGCCUGCCGCCCUCAUUCCAUGGUGUGUGGUGCUGGGGUGAGCACCUUCCAUUGCGGCACAAAUCAAACCUAUCCCUGUGCACCUGGGGCCGAGCACGUGUGUGAGCCAUCGUGCCAGGACCGUGGGCCCCCCAGCCAAGGGACCGUGGGGCACACUGCUCACCACAUCCCAUCUCCCUGCCUUAGUUCAGCACAGCUGAUUUUUCUUUUCUGCUCUUUUAUUUAUUUAUUUACUUAUUGCUAUCCAUUGUAGGAAUAAGAAAAAAAGGAAUAUGAUUCCUUAAAGGAUACAUCCAAUGGAAAAAAACAAACUCAACUCUAAAAUGACUAUUUCAGUGAUGACUUGUAAUCUGUGCAGCUUCAUCUACUUGAUAAUACCCAGCUUAGCGUUAGAUCUAAAAAAAGAAUGAAAUGAGAAAAUCAUUCCUUUGAUAUGCAUUAAAUUAUUCAGUUAGUAAAUUAGUGAAUCUUAUUCUGAGUGUUAUUAGCUAUUAGCAUGUUACACUUCUUGAUGUUGUUUAUGAAGAAUGCAUAUGAAAAUGAGGAAAAGAUUUCCCUUUUGAAGUUGUUGCCACUUGAAUUGUUGACAUUUCUCUUAAUUGGUGGCUGUCCUCUUGAAUGCAAUAUUCUGCUGUCUGUUUUUGUGAGAUUCCUAAUUUUUAAUUUCUCCUCUCGUUGAGUAGACUUUUCUUUUUUUCUUUUUGAACGAGUAACUAUCAAAAUAAUUAGCCUUUUUCGAGGUAACCACGUUCUCCUAAGAUAUUUAUUAAUGAGUGUUUUCCCCACUCAGUAUACUUAGGCUUUUUUCAUUAGAAUUCCAAGGUCGCCUGUGGGCCGGUCGAACCACACCUGGUACCACUGCAGGCAGCAGGAACUGUGCUGUAGAUUUCAGGAGGAACAAAAUUAGUCCCUAGGAAUUAAAAAAGAGCUUGGCCUUCAGUUUGUAUUAGAAAUAUGCCUAUUAUGUAGGAAAACCUGCAAACAUUUCUUCAGGCUCCAGAGUAGGGUUGAGGAGGGAGUGAAAGCUGGGGAAGGACAGCAAAGUAAAUCGAUCAGAACAAGGACACUGCCUUUAAAGGACCUGUUGUUUUCAGCCACGGGGCCAGCAAGCCUCCGUUACACCGCUGGAUCUCCAGCACUGGAGAUGUGUACCUCUCUUUUAUUUAAAGUCAGUACAGGUUAGAUAAAAUUGAAUCCAUUCAAAAUAACAGUCCUUCUGCAUAAGAAGUUAUUUUCUAAUGUAGAAUCAAGGAACUGCAAUUUGAAUGUAUUUUGUUUUAGAAAUGAUUGACCAUCUUGCACUUGCAACUAAAGAGCACAGCAGAUAACAAAGCUCUCUGGAAUGUUAUAUGUUGCUGCAGUGAUCUAAUCCCACUCUGUUCCUGUUUGGCUUCUAUAAACCUUCUUUUCCCUUUCCUUGCUCUUGUCUUUAACCUCAAAAUCUGCCUCGCACGUUGCCAGCUGUUCUCUUCCUGCUGAAAUGCAAUCUCAUUUUGGCAUGCUAGGCUCUCUCCUGCCUAGUUGCUCUUUCAAAACAGGCUGAACAUCAUCACCCUUUUGCUUCCUCCGCCUCCCUGCCUCCUCCUGGUCUCUCUCCCUGCUUCCUUGACCCUUCAUCUUUAAGGAGCCUUCAACACAAAUGUAAAUUCACUCACCAUUCCUAGACAGUCUUCCGUUCCAACUAAAACCUCAACUUGCGUCCUGGCAUACCUUCUUGCUACUCUCUUCAACCUUCUUUUAGUUUGUGCUCCCCUGUCACCUGAACAAAUUCCAGUUCUUCGCUUUUCCAGCAAGACCAGCCUCCUCCAGCUCCCUCUUUUCCUGAUAGCCACUGGCGCUACCUCCAGCCUGAGAGCUCACGCUCACAUCAGCUAUGAAGCUGCCUCCUGACCUUACUUAAACACAUCGACAUCACCUUUCAGAUUGAAAAUCAAUAUGGAAAUAGGAAAAACAGAAGGAAAAAACAAACAAACAAACAAACAAACAAUUAAAAAAAAAAAAAAGCAAGAUAAUCCAGUGUGGGUGCUUAUAUACAGCUGACCCCAAACCGUUACAGAAUCAUAUCUUACAGGGAAGCUUCACUUUGGAGAAAAGCAAUGUUUAUAGAGAAUUAUUGUAUUUUGUACAAUGCUACUGAGGUAGCUAUUAAAAGUUGUAUGUUGUAGUCUAAAAUACUGCAGUGCGGCUCACAGAAGAGCCAGCACGGGCUGUGAAGCGGCCUUACAUGGUGAUCUAUUUCUGCCAGAAUAUAAUAUAAGCUAUUUCAAGAACCCAUUUACAAGUAAGCUGCCUGGGUAGAACCCUGCCUCACUGAAAUCAAUAGGAGUUUUGCCAGUGACAUCAGUGGAAUGAGGUUUUCCUCUCAUUUUUAGCUUGUGCAAAAUUAAAUAUUGGGUCAGGAAAACUGUUAGUUCUAUUGCAUGCAAGUGCCAGUGAUUUUAAACACAGCAUUUGCUUAGGAGGAUUACUAAAUGGAAUUUGCAAAGUGAUUUGUUAAUGGAAGUUAUUUUGUUAAUUCAUCCAGAUUUCCUCCUUGGUUGAAGUGCUUGAGCAUACCUCUUCUGCACCAGUAAGAGCUGUGUGCUGCAACUGCUGGCCUUCAGCUGGGAGAGCGCCGUGCUUCCCUUCCCAAUGGAAGAGCAACAAAAGUGGCACUUAAUAGUACAAAUUCGUAGCUUAAGAGGUUUGCAAGCAUCUAAGUGCUGCAUGUGCUAUGAUCAUUUAUCUUUGAACUUGUUGGUAACAAAGCGUAAUUAACAAGUAAGCUGUAGGAACAUGCAAUUGCUGCGUAUUUACAUGAUAUGUGCCAGGCAUUGUGGUGUAAUCACAGAGUCUAUACCUGCUCUGUAGAAUGAGGUGCAUGGUGCACAGUGUGCUCUAUUUUAUAGUAUUUCCCACAGCCGCCCAGUGAAGCAGAGCACAGCACAGCAGGGUUUAACGACACGCUUUGCUCCAGUGGAGGCAAUCCCUGAGGAUGGAGCUACACAGACCUGCACCCAGCACCGGCAUUUUGGCAUCACCGUGUGUCCUGCUCGCUUGGGUGGCAAUGCACAUGGAGCUCAGGUUACUUAUGCUUUGGAUUGCUGCUCUUUCAGUGAUAUAAAUGGAGUCGACUAUGCAGUAGGGCAAUUUUUUUCCUCUCACGUAUAACAUGAUGCAUCUGUAUAAUAAUUACAGGUAAAAGAAUGCAUGAAAAGAAACUAUUUCCUAUGAAGCUUUUUAAAAACACAUGCCAGCAUGUGAUGACUUCUUUGCCCUAAAAUUCAUUAGGAUCAGAUUACCAAAUGUGAAGUUGCAUAAUGUAGG